GGGUAGAGAGUUCAGAAUAGCAUCUUUAUUUAGGCACUCAAUUAUCUCGAUCAUGUACAAUACCUAAUCAGUGACUGAUGCUCCUUCCCUCAUUCAAGCAUUGAAGAUGGCACAACUAGUCUUGUGCCUCUCAACAUUGUCGGGUGUGCCAAAGGACUCAUUCUAUAUUUGCAACAUAUUUUAUGGUAGAGCAUUCUCGAAAUA
rnacentral:lncRNA from 1 species